rnacentral:rRNA from 1 species
CGUAGGUGGCAAGCGUUGUCCGGAAUUAUUGGGCGUAAAGCGCGCGCAGGCGGUUCCUUAAGUCUGAUGUGAAAGCCCCCGGCUCAACCGGGGAAGGUCAUUGGAAACUGGGGAACUUGAGUGCAGAAGAGAAGAGCGGAAUUCCACGUGUAGCGGUGAAAUGCGUAGAGAUGUGGAGGAACACCAGUGGCGAAGGCGGCUCUUUGGUCUGUAACUGACGCUGAGGCGCGAAAGCGUGGGGAGCAAACAGGAUUAGAUACCCUGGUAGUCACGCCGUAAACGAUGAGUGCUAAGUGUUAGAGGGUUUCCGCCCUUUAGUGCUGCAGCUAACGCAUUAAGCACUCCGCCUGGGGAGUACGGCCGCAAGGCUG